rnacentral:rRNA from 1 species
UACGUAGGGUGCGAGCGUUGUCCGGAAUUAUUGGGCGUAAAGGGCUCGUAGGCGGUCUGUCGCGUCGGGAGUGAAAACUCAGGGCUUAACCCUGAGCCUGCUUCCGAUACGGGCAGACUAGAGGUAUGCAGGGGAGAACGGAAUUCCUGGUGUAGCGGUGAAAUGCGCAGAUAUCAGGAGGAACACCGGUGGCGAAGGCGGGUCUCUGGGCCGAAACUGACGCUGAGGAGCGAAAGCGUGGGGAGCAAACAGG